rnacentral:rRNA from 1 species
GACGAACGCUGGCGGCGCGCCUAACACAUGCAAGUCGAACGAGCGAGAGAGAGCUUGCUUUCUCAAGCGAGUGGCGAACGGGUGAGUAACGCGUGAGGAACCUGCCUCAAAGAGGGGGACAACAGUUGGAAACGACUGCUAAUACCGCAUAAGCCCACAGCUCGGCAUCGAGCAGAGGGAAAAGGAGCAAUCCGCUUUGAGAUGGCCUCGCGUCCGAUUAGCUAGUUGGUGAGGUAAUGGCCCACCAAGGCGACGAUCGGUAGCCGGACUGAGAGGUUGAACGGCCACAUUGGGACUGAGACACGGCCCAGACUCCUACGGGAGGCAGCAGUGGGGAAUAUUGCACAAUGGGGGAAACCCUGAUGCAGCGACGCCGCGUGGAGGAAGAAGGUCUUCGGAUUGUAAACUCCUGUUGUUGAGGAAGAUAAUGACGGUACUCAACAAGGAAGUGAC